GACAAAUAGCUCAGUUGGUAGAGCAUGAGACACUUAAUUUCUUGGUCGUGGGUUCAUACCCCACAUUGGGCA